UACAGAGGUCCCAAGCGUUGUUCGGAUUCACUGGGCGUAAAGGGUGCGUAGGUGGUCGGGUAAGUCUGAUGUGAAAGCUCUGGGCUCAACCCAGAAAUGGCAUUGGAUACUAUCUGGCUAGAGGAAUGGAGGGGGGGGGACUGGAAUACUUGGUGUAGCAGUGAAAUGCGUAGAUAUCAAGUGGAACACCAGUGGCGAAGGCGGGUCUCUGGACAGUUCCUGACACUGAGGCACGAAGGCCAGGGGAGCAAACGGG
rnacentral:rRNA from 1 species